GGGCAGGUGGCGGAACUGGCAGACGCAGAGGACUUAAAAUCCUUCGGCCGAAAGGUCUUGCGGGUUCGAGUCCCGCCCUGCCCA
rfam:Elusimicrobia bacterium RIFOXYD12_FTLL_66_9 rifoxyd3_full_scaffold_2001, whole genome shotgun sequence.